GGAGAGAUGGCCGAGUUGGUUUAUGGCGCACGCCUGGAACGCGUGUUGGGUCGCAAGGCCCUCGCAGGUUCGAAUCCUGUUCUCUCCGCCA
rnacentral:tRNA from 1 species